UCCCUAAUGAUUCAGUGUCUAAGACUCUGUGCUGCCAAUGCAGGGGGUCCAGGUUCAAUCCCUGGUCAGGGAA
rnacentral:tRNA from 1 species